ACACGUGGGUAACCUGCCUUAUAGUGGGGGAUAGCCUUUCGAAAGGAAGAUUAAUACCGCAUAAGAUUGUAGUAUCGCAUGNUAUAGCAAUUAAAGGAGCAAUUCGCUAUAAGAUGGACCCGCGUCGCAUUAGCUAGUUGGUGAGGUAAUGGCUCACCAAGGCGACGAUGCGUAGCCGACCUGAGAGGGUGAUCGGCCACAUUGGGACUGAGACACGGCCCAGACUCCUACGGAAGGCAGCAUG
rnacentral:rRNA from 1 species